rnacentral:rRNA from 1 species
GACGAACGCUGGCGGCGUGCUUAACACAUGCAAGUCGAACGAUGAAGCCCAGCUUGCUGGGUGGAUUAGUGGCGAACGGGUGAGUAACACGUGAGUAACCUGCCCCUGACUCUGGGAUAAGCGUUGGAGACGACGUCUAAUACUGGAUAUGACUACUGGUCGCAUGGCCUGGUGGUGGAAAGAUUUUUUGGUUGGGGAUGGACUCGCGGCCUAUCAGCUUGUUGGUGAGGUAAUGGCUCACCAAGGCGACGACGGGUAGCCGGCCUGAGAGGGUGACCGGCCACACUGGGACUGAGACACGGCCCAGACUCCUACGGGAGGCAGCAGUGGGGAAUAUUGCACAAUGGGCGAAAGCCUGAUGCAGCAACGCCGCGUGAGGGAUGACGGCCUUCGGGUUGUAAACCUCUUUUAGUAGGGAAGAAGCGAAAGUGACGGUACCUGCAGAAAAAGCACCGGCUAACUACGUGCCAGCCGCCGCAGUAAGAC